AGAGGACCGUCAGACGUGUAGGAGGAAGGGUGUGUGUGUCCGAGGCUCCUGCGGCCCUUCACUGAGAGACUUGUAUCCAGGUGAAGGGAAGCGAAGGAAAAAGGAUAAAGAAGAAUACAAAACGACAAAAAAACAAAAAAAAAAAAACAUUAGCGUGAAGAAAUAAGACAAACAAUUAAGACUGAAAACUGAAAGAAAAAAAAAAAACCCAAAAUGCUAAAGGAAAAAUAAAAGAAAACAAGAAAAUUAUAAAAAUACGAAUAUAGAAAAGUAAAAUCAAUAGCUGUUAAUAAAAGUUACAUUGAGAGGAAAAGAUAAAAGAGGACAAGAAA